rnacentral:lncRNA from 1 species
GCCAACUUGUUGACCACAUUUCUAAUCCCCAAAAGUCAAUUAAAGACACCUAUAAAAUCAAAGCAACGUCUAUGAGGCUUCUAGGAAGCUUUCAUAUCAAAUACUAAAGAAUUAACUUACUUUUAUCUACUUUUAUUUACUUCUACCUAUUUAUAUAUGUAAUUAUUGGCUUACAUGCAUAUGUCCGUGACAUAACCCUUCCUUCUAGAGACGAGUUCCACGAGAAGCGGUAAUCAUAUGUUGAGAAAAUCUAUGAUGCGACAAAUUUUAUUCGCCACAUACUCUGAUCUUUGUUCUCUUCAAAGAUGAUUGAUAGGGCCUCUCAACUAUCCGUAGUAUCCUAUAUUAAGGCAGAAAGACCACCCAGUUAUUUGAUCAUUGUUGAGGCCUUCAUAACUUCCUUCGAAUAAAAUAUUUGGAACACCAUCAGGAGUUGUUCCUACCUCUAGUAAAAUUAUUAAACAUCGAGAGUCCCUUCCAAGGUCGUGAUACCAAGCACGUUGUAUCCUGCCAUCUAUUCGAAGAAGAACAUGUCAUUUUUGAAGAUAUUCAUCUCGAUUGUAUCCUCUUGAAGGUUGUGACAAUCGUAAUGUCUCGUCCGAUAGAUCAGCAAACAAAGGCUCUUGAGUUGAAUCCUCUGAUUAUUGGUUCUUCAUUUCCUGAGCAUCACAACUACAAAAGAGCUACAAACAAGGAUUGAAAGUAGAAUUUUAUCUUGCCUAGAUUUUAUUUCUUUUAUAAGAAAGAUUUUCAUCUUGAUUUUUAUAGAUGUCAUCGAUGAAAAGCCUCCAUAGCCUUUGCUGCAUUUGAAAGUUUUUUUACUAGCUGCCAUGUGCAUUCACUAAUAUCAUAUCCGUGCCAAUGGACAAGAUAUUCCAAUUUAUUUCGACGCCGCCUUGAAUCUAAGACUUCUUCUACUUCAAACUCUUCAUUAUUGUCCACUUCUAUAAGAGGAGGUGGAUCUUGUUUUUUUCUUGGUAUGUCCACUCUCUUGUAUGGUUCAAAAAGAGACACGUCAAAUACUGGAUGGAUUUUCAUUGAUUCUCGUAGAUGUAAACAAUAUGCAACUGAAUUGAUUUGUGUAGAAAUAGAAAACGGUCCAAUCUUUCGAUAGUCCAUCUUGUCACGAGAACGAGUGGUCUUGAUAUUGCGACGAAGUAACCAUAUCUUAUCACCUAUGUGGAAUGGUGGUUGUUCCUUUCGAUAGACAUCUGCACUGACUUUUUGUUGUUCUUGAGCUUCUUUUAACUAUGCCUUCAUCGUUGCAUGUAGCUCUGACAAAUGAAUUGCCAAAACUUUUGCAACAAGAUUAUCAACUUUUGAAAAGUCAAAAGUAUCAAGUCAUGGAUGAUAACCAUAAUUAGCAAAGAAAGGUGUUUGUUUUGUAGAAGAAUGUAUCGUGUUAUUGUAAGCAAACUCUGCUAAUGGCAAAAGAGCUGUCUAAUCAUCUUGUUGGUAGUUAAUGGUACAUCUUAAAUAUUGCUCCAAAUCUUGAUUAACACGCUUUGUUUGUCCAUCAGUUUGAGGAUGGAAUGCCGAAGAUAGUUUUAUAUCCACUUUUAGAAUCUUAAAAAGAGUCCGCCAAAAUCUUGAUACAAAUUGAGUUCCUCUAUUUGAUAUAAUAUCUUUCAAUAAUCUAUGAUAACGAUAGAUAUUGUCAAGAAAGAGCUUAACUGUUUCUUCACCUGUGAUAGAUUUUGUACAUGGUACGAAAUGUGCCAUCUUGGUAAAACGAUCUACUAUCACAAAUAUAGAGUCAUAAGAACCUGAGAUUGGAAGAUCCGUGAUGAAAUCCAUAGAAAUAGAAGACCAUGGUUGUUCUGGAAUGGGUAAUGGCUGAAAAAGUCCAUAAGGUUGAUGACAAGGAGUUUUUGAUCUCGAGCAAACAUUACAAGAUUGUACAAAAUCUUUGACUACUUUCGACAUUUGUGGCCACCAAAAGUCCUUAGAUAUUAGUUCCAAAGUUUUAUUGUACCCAAAAUAUCCUGCUGCUGGAAAGUCAUGACGAGCUUGAAGAACACGUAAUCGAGCUUCAUCUUCUGGAACAUAUAGGCGUCCCUCAAAAUAUAGUAGAUUGUUUUUGAAUUCAAACUUGGAAGUAUCAUGAGACUUUGAAGGAUUUCUCUUCAUUUCACUAUUAAGAGGAUCAGAAGAUAUACUUGACUGAACUUGCUUAAUAAAAGUUGAAUCAACAAGUAGUGUUGAUUUCAUUGCUUAAAGAUGAAGAUGCUCUGGCUUCAAGAGAAUUAUUUGUUGUUGAUCAAAAGCAGCAUCUCCUUCCUUUGAUGCAAGAUAAGAUCAUCUAAAGAGUAUAUUUCACAAAUCUUGUUGUUUUCUUGGUCAAUAAGUGAUCUUGAAUUCGAAUCUUGACAAAGACAUACUCUAAUAGGCUUGGCAAUGAUUCAAAACACGUGCUGACAUAAAAUAUUCUAGGUUCUUGUAAUCCGUAUAUACUAUGACUGGGCUAGAAGCACCUUUUAGACAAUGGCACCAUUCUUGAAAUGAAUCCACGAUUGCAUGAAGUUCUUUGUCAUGGAUCUCGUAGUUGAUUUUAGCUGCUGAAAAUAUUUUGGAAUGAAAAGCUAUUAGGUGAAGUUUAUCAUCUGUUCCCAUUUGUGAUAAUACGUCACCCAAAGCAAAGUGUGAUGCUUCUAUUUCCAUAAAAAAUGGCUUAGAAAAAUCAACGUAAUACAAGAUUGGUGCAGAAACAAAGGCUCUCUUCAAAGCUUCAAAUGCUACUUCUGCUUCUUGAUUCUUUUGAAGUUUGUCUUUGCAAUUCAAACAUGUAAGUGGAGCUACAACUUGAGAGAAGUCUUUGAUGAAGAUCCGAUAGUAGUUGAUAAAUCUCAAAAAGCAUUGGGCAUCUCUUAUCAUUUUUGGGAUCUUCUAAUUCAUAAUAGUUUGAACUUUCUUAGGAUCCAUCAUAAGUCCAUCAUUUGAAAUGAUGUAUCCUAAGAAGUCGACUUGAGUAAUGUGAAAUACACACUUUUCUAUCUUGGCAUAGAGUCUUGCAUCUCUUAGUUUUUGUAAUACUUGGCAAACAUGAAGUUCAUGAUCUUUCUAUAUUCUUAGAAUAGAUUAAGAUGUCGUCUAGGUAACAGACAAUAAAAUCAUCUAAAAACUCCCAAAAGACAUCAUUCAUUAGAUGUUGGAAUGUUGCUCGUGCAUUUGUAAGUCUAAAAGGUAUGACGUUGUAUUCAAAAUAUCCAUACCUUCUUCGAAACGUAGUCUUCCAUUCAUCUCUUUCUUUGAUGCGUACCAAAUUGUAUGCUCCCCAUAGAUCUAUUUUUGUAUAGAUCUUAGCUUGAUUCAACUGAUCAAGAAGUCCACAUAUUAAAGGUAGCAGGUACCUGUUUUUGAUAGUGAUUUUGUUGAGUCCUCAAUAAUCAACACACAUCCGCUGUCACGGACACAGAAUAUAAACUUGAUAUCUACCAAGAAGUUCAAGAAGAACUGGCAAGAACUAGAUUAAUCAGAUGAAUACAAGAACAAUACCAGAGAGGUGAGCUAGAGCUCCAAGAGAUGUGUUGUCGAGACUGAAGAACUCUUCAGCCUCGAUCCCAAUAUAUACUCCUAUUUAGGAAGCUUCUCAAGCAACUUCUACCAACUAUGAAGCUUCUAGAAGGUUCCAGAGACUUGCUUCUAGAAGGUUCUAGAAACUUAUCUCUAGAAGGUUCUAAGGACUAUGUCCCUAACAUCUUCUAUCAACUAAGAAGCUUCUAGAAGGUUCCAGAGACUUGCUUCUAGAAGGUUCUAGAAGCUUGUCUCUAGAAGGUUCUAAAAACUUGUCUCUAGAAGGUUCUAAGGACUAUGUCCCUAACAUCACCCCCUCCUUUAGCUUCGAGGUCUCUGAGAAGUAAUGUUAUUGUCAAUCAGUACCAAUGCAAGAAAAUGAAGAUCUGUCGCAUAACGUUUGCUAUGAACUCCAACUGUUGUUCACGAGGUAAGUGGUUCAUCGGCCCUUGAAGCCAACGGUAGUCACCCACUCCUUCAACUUCUGCCCAAGCAUGAACUUCCGUGUCUUCAUUGUGAAAUUGUCUUGCAAAUAUGCCUUCUGGUUGACCAUCAUAAGCAGGCUCAGACUCAAAUACAAUCACCAGUGAUCGGUUACUUGGUAUCCUCCGUCGUCGUCAUGGUGCAGGUGGUUCUUCAUCUUGGGGUCGCCUUCGUGAACUAGUGAUCUUUUCCUGGAAGAGUGCAAUGUCCUCGCUCGCGUAGUUUCUCUAAUACCAAACGAACGUGUUUUUCAUGGUCUUCCUCAUUUUUGGAGAAUAUCAAAAUAUCAUCCAAAUAGAUGACAACAAAAUCGUCAAGGUACUCUCGGAAAAUGUCAUUCAUCAUAUGUUGAAAGACCGCUAGAGCAUUGGUAAGACCAAAAGGCAUGACAUUAUAUUCAAAAUGGCCAUACCUUGUACGGAACGCUGUCUUCCACUCAUCUCCUUCCUUCAUUCGUACGAGGUUGUAAGCUCCCCUUAGAUCAAUUUUUUUAAAGAUCCUUGCACGUCCAAGUUGUUCUAAGAGACCAGAAAUCAAGGAUAACGGGUAAUGAUUCUUCUUUGUUACCUUGUUGAGACCUCGAUAGUCCAUGCACAUCCGCAACGAGCCAUCUUUCUUCUUCACAAAUAAGAUGGGUGCUCCAGCUGACGAUUUUGAAUGACGGAUGAAGUUCUUGGCUAGAUUUUCGUCGAUGUACUUCCGCAAUUCCGCCAACUCCAUCUGCGAUAGAUUGUAGAUUGGGCCAAAAGGCGGUUGUGAUCCUUUCUGUAAGUCUAUGGUGCAAUCAUAUGGUCUGUGUUCCGGUAGCAUGUCGGCAUUUUUCUUUUGAAACACGUCUUUAAAAUCCUUAUAUUGCUCUGAUAUACUUGCUGUCGAGAUCUUCUCCCCAGUAGUUGGAGCCGCAUAAAUGACAAACGGUGUGCCUCCCUUGGACAAUCUUAUAAAUGCUCUUGCUCCAAUAAAUAAGGAUUUCUCUAUUCGGGAUUUUCUACUAGGCUUGUUCUUGGGUGGUUUUGUGGGAAAGGUCAUCUUCCGCAACUUCCAAUCUAUGGAUGGGUUAUGCUUUUCUAACCAAGAAAGACCAAGAAUAACAGGAUUUGAUGGGAUUCUAAUAAUAUUAAAAAUAAUAUGACUACUAUGGUCCUUAAACGUCACUUCUAUAGGUUUUGAUUCAUGGGUGACACUACUAGACAAUAAAGGUCGUCCAUCUAUGACCUCAACGUGAACAGGUUUGGAUUUUUGUACUAAAGGGAUCUUAUGACGCUUUACAAAUUCUUCGUCUAAAAAAUAAGCAGAUGCUCUUGAAUCUAAUAAUGCUAAGGUUCUCAGUUUUUGAGGGCCAAUAAGCAAAGGGAUUGUAAAACAAAGGGCAGGUUGAGCGGAAAGAAAGGAACCUGGUUGUUGUUGCGAUAUUUCACUGUCCAGCCGCACGGUUCCUAUUGUGGCUGGGCAUCCUCGUUUUCCUGAAUAAAUGUACCCCUAGUCUUAAUAAUACGUCGAUUUUGCUUCUUGGGGCAGUUUCCAACUUUGUGGCCUUCUUCACCAUAAUACAAGCAUAGACCUUCCUCCAUACGUCGCUUUUUUUUCUUCUAGAGUAAGAGAUUUGACACGUACCGCAUCAAUUUGCAUGUCUUCUACCUCUGAAUGUGAAUUCAUGCUGCUUGCCGACAUAGUUGGGGUGUGGCGAACCGUAUGUUGUCUUGAACGUUGGUCUUGGCGACGUUGGAAUAGGCGGUUAUCGCACUUCACAGCUUGGCUAAUAGCUUCGUUGAGCGUUUGCGGAUCAGGAGGAGUUAACAGUAAAUCCUUCACAUCGUCCCUUAAACCCCAAUAGAAUUGACUCAUCAACGCUUCUUUGUCCCAAUUGAUGUAACAUGCUAAUUGCUUGAACUCCGAUGCAUAGGCUGAUGUAGAACGCAUCCCUUGUCGUAGUGACCGGAUCUUUGUUGUAGCCCAUCGAACCUUGUCAUGUUCACCAAAUGCUUCCGCAAAUGCCUCCAAAAAGGUUUCAAAGCUGUUUAGUAUGGACGAUUGUUUCUCAAACAAAGGAGCAAACCAUGAUAGAACUUGUCCUGUAAGUAAGGUUCCAACAAGCCCAACACGUGACUCCUCCGUUGGAUAGCGUUCGGGCUGUAAAACUGUUAUCAACCUGAUUUGGUUGACGAAUCCUCGAAACUUAGAACAUGUACCAUCGAACUUGUCCGGAAGGCUAACUCGGGGUUCCUUAUGUUGUAGAACCAGCGGUGCUUGUCGAACCUGAGGCAAAGUUGCUUCUCCAAGUAUAGAAGUUUGAGGCUGGUCCAACCUAGAUUGUGCCAUCUUAGAUGCUCCAUCAUUAUGAAGCCUUGCCACGACUCCUUCAAUCUCUGCAGUUCUUUGCGAUAACGUAGCGAGGGCAUUCAUGAUAGCAUCUAACUUCGACUUUGAACUUUCCGUCAUACUAAUGUCUUGGCCCCUGACCAUUCUAAGAGAAGGACAGAAAUGAUUCUACAAGAAGACAAUAUUGGUUUAGAAGAGGGUACUCCGCAACCUCUAAAAUGCCUUAAGAGCUUCAAGAAAAGGGGUAAUCCACUCUCUCCAAGAAGAAUAAGACUCCAAUAUUGUAACAAAAGAAGUAUCAGUUUAGAAGAGGGUAAUCCGCAACCUCUAAAGUGCUAGUACACUUCCAAGCAGAGGGAUAAUCCACACUCUAACAAAGAAGAAACUAGCUCUGAUAUCUGAGGUGAGUUCAGUCUCGACAAACUGUCACGGACACAGAAUACAGACUUGAUAUCUACCAAGAAGUUUAAGAAGAACUGGCAAGAACUAGAUUAAUCAGAUGAAUACAAGAACAACACCAGAGAGGUGAGCUAGAGCUCCAAGAGAUGUGUUGUCGAGACUGAAGAACUCUUCAGCCUCGAUCCUAAUAUAUACUCAUAUUUAGGAAGCUUCUCAAGCAACUUCUACCAAUUAGGAAGCUUCUAGAAGGUUCUAGAGACUUGCUUCUAGAAGGUUCUAAGGACUAUGUCCCUAACAUCUUCUAUCAACUAAGAAGCUUCUAGAAGGUUCUAAAGACUUGCUUCUAGAAGGUUCUAGAAGCUUGUCUCUAGAAGGUUCUAGAAACUUGUCUCUAGAAGGUUCUAAAGACUAUGUCCCUAACAUCCGCAACGAUCCAUCUUUUUUCUUCAUAAAUAAAAUUGGAGCUCUUGUUGGAGAUUUGGAAUGGUGUAUGAAGUUCUUGGCCAAAUUUUCUUUAAUAUACUCCUUGAAUUUAGCUAACUCAUUUUGAGAUAAAUUGUAGAUUGGUCCAAAUAGCGAUUGUGCUCCUUCUUGAAGGUCAAUUGAGCAAUCAUAGGAACGAUGUUUUGGAAGAGUAUCCACAUUCUUUUUCUCAAAUACAUCUUAAAAAUCUUGAUAUUGGCUUGGAAUGCCACUUCAAGUCUUUUCACCAAUAGAAAUAGGUGUGGCAUAAAUGACACAAGGUGAUCCUUCUUUUGCAGCAUGCAAGAAAGGACUUGCACCUACAAAUAUAGGUUUAAUUAUACUAGACUUAUGACUUUAUACUUGAUUAACUACACUCUUAGUUAUACUUUCAUAAAAGUCAAGACUACGAGAAGUUCAUUGCUUGACUCAAUGUUUGAAGAUCACGUAAGUUGAGCAUUAAUUUUUUUACCUCAUAUUGUAAUCUGUAGAGAAAUUGGCUAAUAAGUGCAACAUCAUUCCACUUGAUAUCUAUUGCAAGUUGUCAAAAUUGUGAAGCAUACAACGUUAUUGAUCGAUUGCCUUGUUGCAAAAUACGGAUCUUAUUGGUUGCAACCCGAAUUCCAUCAUGUUCUCCAUACAUGGAUCAAAACUUUGCCAAAAAAGCCUCUAGAUUAUCCAAUAUUGGAUCUCAUCAUUCAAGAAAAGAUGAAAAUUAUGUUAAUGCUGAACCUGAAAGAAGCGUACCAAUGAAUCUAACUUGUGAUCCUAGAAUUGGAUAGCUUUGGGGUUGAAGUUCAAUCACAAGUUGUACUUGAUUGAUAAAUCUUCUAAACUUUGAUCUAGUGCCAUCAAACUUCUCGGGUAGGGAAAUUCUUAGUUCUCUAACAUUGAAAUGACGUUCCACCAUAGGAGAAGAGACAUGAUUUGGUGCAAAUGUUGAAGCAGCUCCAAUCAUUUCUAUAUCUUCACUUCUUGCCAAUCUUGUUGCUCCUUGUGGUGGUAAAUUGAGUUGAUGCAUCGCAAGCAUUAACUCCCUCAAUUGUUCUUAUAUUUGUGCCAUUGCACUCUUCAUUUCAGUAAGUUUUGCCAUCAAAACACUUACAAAAGAGAAGAUGUCUAAUAUUGCUCAAGCCAAAUAAAAGAAAGGACUUGAGAACAAAAAAAAUACUAAGGACAAUAUCAGUUUAGAAGAGGGUAAUCCACAACUGCUAAUAUGCUUGUGUCUUAUCAAGAAAAAGGGGUAAUCCACUCUUAAUCAAGAUUAGACAAAGCUCUGAUAUUAUAGGUGUACUCUUGUCAAUCUAUUAAGGACAAAAACAUAAUAAAGACAAAUAAACAAGUGCGACUUCUUUCAUAGAAAGAUGACAAAAUAGAAAUAACUUGAUAUAUAUAUUAAGAAAGAAACUGGAAUGGCUAUUGCCAAAAGCCAAGAAAACUAGAGACCCUUGAAACUAGACUGGACGCAAGAAAGGAGUUGACAAGUUAUUUUUGACAAGUUUUUUUUUCAUAAUAUAAACUUAUAAAAGUAAUAUACAAUAAAAUAAAAUUUAUUAAUGAUAUGAGAUUUAGGAUUUGAGGUUUUGAGUUAUACAAGAAAAAAAAGAAGAAAAAAUCUAAUUCUAUUAAAAUAAAUAAAUAAUAAAUAAUAAAUAAAUAAAUAAGUUGAACUACAACAAUAUAAUUAUUUAAGUUAAUUUGUGACUUUUUUAUUUAUAAAUUUAUUUUUUUGUAUUAAAAAUAUUAUAUAUUACUUAUUGAUUUUUUAUUUUUUAAUUUUAAAAAUUAGCUCUUAAUUAUAAUAAGACAAAACACAAACAUAUUUAAUAUUUGGCCUAAUAAUAAACUUAUACAUCAAAAUAAAGAAAAGAUUUAAAAAAAAAAUAACUUUUAUUUGAUAAUGCUAUGUAUUAAUCUAUUUAUAAAAUUCAUAUCAUAAUUUUUAAAAAAAAUUAAAAUCUUUUCUUUUUUAAUUUAUUAAUCUCUUUACUCUAUGAUUAGCAUUUUUUUUGGAAAAUAUUAAGUGAAACUUGUUAUUGAAUUAUGAAUAAUUUAUUGAUUAAAUUAUUCAUAAUUCAAUAACAAGUUUAAAGAUAUAUAUAUAUAUAUAUAUAUAUAUAUAUAUAUAUAUAUAUAUAUAUAUAUAGUAUAAAACAUAAAAUUUAUUACAUCAAUUAAAAAAACUACAACCUUUUAAAGAUAAAUAACAAUUAAUUUAAAUAUUAAUUAUAAUAAUAAACAAAAUUGAUAUAUUAUAACUACAUAUUAUCUUAUUUUUUUCUAAAUUUCAACUAAACCACUUUCAUUUUGGUGAACUAUGCCAUAAUUUUAAGGUCUUUGAUACACCAAAAUAAUUUCCAUAAGUAAUAUAAAUUUUUAAGAAGAUACUCAAAAAUUGCAAUAUUAAGUCAACAUUAAUGUAAUAGAGAAGAAUUUAUGGUAUCUAAUCUUAUUAAAAGUUUUAUAUUUAUAAAAAAAACGAAGAUGAAAGAAGUUUAUUCUCUGUAAUAAAAUAUCAAGCUUCAAUAUUAUAAAGCUGGAGUCAUAUAAAUAUUUUUUUAAAUGAUUUAAUAAAUUCAUAUUUUUUAAAUCAUUUAAAUGUAUAAAAUUAUUUAAAAAUUUAUAUAAAUAAGAAAGGAAAAAAAGUAAAAAAAAUUUUAAAAUCAUGAUAUUAUAUUGCUUAGUCUUGUUACAUAUCAAAUGAUAUGAAUUCAAUUAAAUUUAGCAAAAGAAAAUUGACAUGCAUAUGACAAAGAACCUAAAUAGUGUUAAAUCACAAAUGAAGAUAUGAAAAUAAUUGAAAAUAUUAAAAAUAGCUUUAAUCUUGGUUCUAUGUUAAUAAAAACCCAUUUAGAAAUUUCUUAGUGAUUGUAAGUCAUUCAAGAUAAAUAUCAAAAUUUUAGAAAGUUUUUUAAAUAGCUUUUGAAGGAUUAAAAAAUUCUACAAAAAAAAUCUUGUAGUCACACACUACAUUUAAAGAUACUUGUAAGUCCAACCAUAUUUUUUUUUAAAUUCACGUUGUUUAACAAAAAAUAUUAUCAAACUAAUUUGUUUUUCUUCUCAUUAUUAGUUUGUUGUACUUCAACCUCAUAUUUAUAUCCUUACAGAUAAUUGUUAACUGUAAUUAAACUUCUACUGAUUACUAAUUAGAUUUUUUUAAAAUCAUAAUUUACUAAUUUGACAUAUUUUUUUUGUAAUAUUCUUUGAAUAAAAAAUUUAUCUGUGUGUGUAUAUGUAUAUAUAUAUAUAUAUAUAUAUAAUGUGUGUGUGUGUGUGUGUAUUGUGAAGAAGUCCAAAAGAAUGCUACUGUAUAAAAAAUACUGUCAAUUCUUAGAAACUUAAUUGAACCAAAUAUUCAUUCCAUCAAUGUACAUCCAAAAUGCAAGUUAUAUAUGUAUAUACACAAACAUUGAGAGAUUUGAUUUGAAACAAGUUUUUUUGAGAAACCAAACAAGGAUCAUUCUAUUUUAUUUAUCAAAUUUUUUUUGUAGGUUUCAUGGGUUCUUUGAAAUUAUUGAAGUGGCGAUUUUAAGAAAAUAGUACAUACCUACCUGCCAAUAGCAACACGUGGGUAAUAUGUACAUAAUUACAGCAUCACUUACAUAUAAUUAUGCCACGUUCCCUCCACAUCAGCAGCGUUAUUGUGGACUCACGGGAUCACAUUUCUCUUUUGAAACAUGUUCAGAGUACGUGGCAUUAUUUUUAUCAAACGUGUUCUAGAUUCUAGAGAAGCACAUAAAACACGGCUAGAGCAUUUAGAUCCAUAGCACUGGCGUUAAAAACAGUCUUUGAGAUAAAACCUGAAACCAUUACAAUAAUUCACUGAUAGUAAACAUUGUCUCAACCUUUGGUUGCAUUUAGUUUUAUCUACUUUUCACCACACGAAAACUCAUCACAAAAGCCGAGCCGUAAGGGUAGUAAAUUACAGAUUAAAGAAAUAAGUCGUCUCCAGGGCCAAGGUUGUCAACAGGCGGACGUUGAAGAUGGUGGUUUGUCACUGACUGGUACGCCAUCGCUAAAGCCAGGACCUGGUUGUACAUAGAAUCGAGGUGUUCAGGUUCAUGUUGAGUUACCAAAUUUGAAGAACUAUUCACUGCAAAGAAUGAACAGACUUCUAAGUACUGUGAAAAUAUAAGAGAACGUCGAAGAUUGAUUACGUUCUUCUCAUGGAAACUGAAAACGUUCUUAGCUACAGACAGCAUACCGUUCCAUCUUGAUAGGGAGCUGCGUAGAUGCCAGUUUGGACAGUGAUCCGCCGCCGAGUACCAUUUAUUUUCUUGAAGCCAGUGGGGAUCACUAUCACUGGCAUACCCACAAGAUUGCCCACGCAUACCUUCUCCCAGUCUGUUGCAUUUCCAAUAAAUGCAUCUAUUUUCUGCCUCUGAAUAGUUUGAAUAACUUCAUGUGCCAGCUUUCCACGAGCUCUUUGCGCCUGCGUGGUCGAACGGACUGAAACAUUUAGUAAAAAAAAUAUGAAGAAUACAGAAUCAGCUUUUUAGAAAUUAACAGCGGACGUAACACUUAUUACAGCCGCUUGGUUUGUAGUUCUGACCGUUCAAUAUAAGCACCCAAAUCAACCAGAUUAAAUGUUUCAAGAGCCGGUUUUAACCUGUAUGUAGUCCACAGCUGAAAUCAGGCGAGUCCGCCGAAGCUCAACUGGCCACGCAGUCUGAUCCUCGUAAUUAUCAUCUAGACCCGCUCGCUGCCAGUGAUCAAAAUGUGCCAGUACGUCCACGUCCAUUGUUACGUUGAGAAUGAACUGCGCUGAAGGUACAGUGUAGUUCAACGCAAAUGGGACCAUCGUCACCUGUUUGGAUGCAAGAGCUUUCACCACCUUCAGGUGGCACCAACACCAACUAAGGUCAGCUUCAUGUAGCACCAACCCGAGCUAGUUCUACGAAUCGUGACAUCUCACCUCGCUCGACAUGCCCAGCCCACAUGAUCCAAACGUCUUGAUUUGCUUACAAUACCAAAAAGAAUGCGAGAAAACAAUUCUUAACGAGAAGCUUACCCCCAUGUCUGCAUCCGGCAGAUAACCCACGGUUAACUUGGAGACAUCAAUAAAGAAUGGGUCUUUCAAAUGGAUAUCCUCUGAGGACCAGUCCCUUGGAUCCUUGCCCCUAAUCACGUCGAGUACUAUAGCGCAAUCGGCUGCAGAUCGACAGAGAGGACCAAGUUUGUCCUGCAGACAAAGACAGUUUCAUAGAUAUGCUCCAAUAUAUUAAAGCCUCAAUGCCCGACUUUUGGUUUCUGAAAAUUGGUCAUCAAGCAGCAGGAAAAUACGAUACAAGAAUUCCAUCAUAUCCACAUAAUGCACAAUGUUGAGAACAUGUACCAUGCUUUCAGAUAAGCUCAUAACCCAGGAUCGUCCCACCAUUCCAAAGCUGGGACGCAAUCCAGUUAUCCCCGUGCGAGAGGAUGGGUACACGAUAGACCCUGCUGUCUCCGAGCCGAUUGCGAAGGGUACAUUUCCUGUCAAAACCAUUAAACAUAGCCCGAAUCUUAGCUUCUACUAAUUCCCCACAUUAUAUGUGAAUUUUGAAUCUUCAGUCAAGCCUCAUCUGAAUCUCGUCUUCAGUAAUGUAGCACUUGUUAAGAUGGAAAGUACCUGCAGAUGUACAAGCAGCUGGUCCAGCAGACGAUCCAGUGCUGCCUUCGUGGAUAUUCCACGGAUUCUUUGUUCGACCUCCAAACCAAAUGUCAUCCCAAGCCAGCGCCCCUGUUGCGAGCUUGGCUAUCAGAACUGCACCAGCCGCUUUGAGCCUGCAAUCAUUUGGACAGUUGUAAUUUGAACUUGGACUGCAGCUCUACUUGAUAUCAAGUUGGAAAUAACGAAGCAUCACAAGUCUUGAGAGCAGCCACAAACUGAUACAUAAUUAUACGUCCACAGAAAACCAACCCAGAAGUGAAUAAUUUGCAAAUUUAAUGAGCGGCAGUUUCUGUGCUCAAGCAACAUCAAACAAUCAUUAUUACAAAGCUACAAAAACUACACUCACUUCUGAUAAACUAAGGAUUCCUCGUUGAUGACUUGAUUUUUGAAAACGCUUGAGCCCCAUGUGGUUUUGUACCCUGGGACGGCGAUAAUGUCCUUCAGUCCGUAUGGUAUUCCGUGCAAUGGCCCUGUAGAACCAGUUUUAAAUCAACAACAUAAGUAACAUUCCCACAAAAAUUCUAAGAGCAGAAUUAUACCCGUGUAGAGAAUCACUCUAAAAUACACAGCCUCCUUUGCGUGUAUUUUGUGGUCACCUAAAUAAACUCCUUCGGCAAGUAAUUUAUCAGCAGCAGUGGCCUGCUCAAGGGCCAGCUUCUCAGUAUACGUCACCACUGCAUUCAGGACAUAAUCAACCCUACAGAUGAAACAAGAUAUUUUUAGGAUACCAUCACUGUAAUGAAAUCUGGAACAAAAGCAAGCAACAGAAAAUUUAACCUAAACCUCAUGUUUCACGGGUAACGACUUGACUAGUAAACUUCACAGGUCAUCGUCGUUACUUCUUCAGCCGUGCUGUGUACAGCUUAACAAGGUCCACCGAGGUUAUUUGCUUGGACCGUAGCAAUGAACCCAAUUGAAGAAUCUGACAUAAACAUAAAAAUAAAAAUAAAUCAACAUUAGCGAGCUCGUCACAUGGUUCCUGAGGUAUAUUCUACACAACAAUGAUGAAGGAGUCUUCUGCUCACUGAUCACAAUUGCAUUCAUUAGAAUUAUUCGCAUCUUGUUAGGAGUCUCUUACACUCAUGAAAGCAAGAUCCUCAUCAUUCUUAGGACGCUGCACGUUGUCCAAAAUCGGGUAUGAAAACUUGAUAUCUGGUUCACUAAACUCUUUUUUAUUGAAACCUGGAUCGAAGAGAAGUGGUACGGGAUUCCUCAACCCCCCAUCAGGAUGAGCCACUAAUUCCCUGUUAGCUCGAACCCCCACAAUGUUUUUUGUGAGGACGCCAUUUGCUACUUCCUUUUGCUGCAAGUCAAGGAGAUAAACAAUAUGAAUAGAAGCCUGAAAAUCCUUGGUGUAAAAUCAAGACGGUCUAAAAUUCGUGCAGAAAAUAUCUGAGGAAAGUUGAAACUGACAGUGCUUUUUCAGAGGUGGUGACUCUCACCUGCUCUUCAUCAAAAAUGUCAGCAUCGAUGAUCUUUGUGGCCACACGAAUUGCUGUGGCAUUGACUGAAACAUCAGAUGCUUGCAUCGUCCGGGGAUCUAUGCUGCCCAGCACAUUGUCGACCACAUGGAGAAGUCCAUCACUAGCUAACAAGUCCGCAGUCAACACUCUGGCGUUGCCAAUGUAUGUUCUCGUUUUCGUCUUGUGAAUCUGUGAUUUCCCACAUUAACAUGCAAUUUAGAGUGUGAAAGAGUCUCUGUGCUAACGAAUGAGCGGACUUGACGAAAUCAGGCACAUACAGGUCCUGAUAUUUUUCAGUAUUCUUCCACGGUACUCAUGAGACGUGGUACAAGACAAGGAGUGUUACUUGUUCAACUGAGCUGCUAGCAAACAGAAGAAGCUGUCCAUCUUCUAGAUCCUUCACCCGAAAUGAACCCUCCACGACUGCAUCAUGAGGCCGCACGGUCACACGGCUGUCAAAGAGGAGCCUCUUGCAAUAAUUGUUUGAGAUCUUUACCACAACCCUAACGCAACAAUAGUUGUUCCAUGAUCAACUAAGCAUUUCACUUCUCGGAAAAGAGUUAUUUUCAUCUAACAGGCCCUUAAUUGUGGAUGAUGCCAAAUGACUUACUAAAAUUCAAAAGAAUCGUCUUCAGGUUGGUGGAGGAAAGGAGAUCCGCAGUGGAGGUGCAAGGCCGCGCCUUGUAAAAGGCGUGCACGCAAAUCAAGCGAGAGUUUUUGAAAGCUAUUUUCAGAGCUUUGUUACUUGGUGCGAAGACUGUGAAUGAUUUGCCUUUCUCACCAAAUGUCUUGUUCAGCGCUGUCCUCUCCAAUGCUGCAUUGAACGUGGACUGCACAUACGAUUAAAUUUGUUCGUAUCGCCCCUUCAGCAGUUUCAAGAAGAUGAGACAAUCCUAAUAAUACUUUCACAUUCUAUAUCCAUGUCAAUAGGGAGGACUCUCGAUGUAGGUCAAACCAAACCAGGGCACGACAUAGAGGGAACCUUCAAGCACGUACAACAAUUUUAAGAUUUGUGAAGCUUAUGGAAUAAGGAUUAAAGCCUUACCAGCUCAGGUCUAGAGGCCGAGAUGGACCUAAUGUCUUUGCAAUUAGUUGCGGUGCAACGCCGUUGUGAUCCAUCUGUCGAAGCUUCUGAUGAUGUUAUAACAGCCAGCAGUAUUACCAAGAGAAGGGUCGGCAUUAGAACUGUCCACCUUAGUCUGAGAACAAAAUACAGCACAGCAGUUGCGACAGACAGACAGACGGACGGACCAGUAGCAGGGCAGGACAGGGCAGGUCAGGGCAGAGGACCAGGGGAGAAGAAGAAAAAUAAGAAUAAUAAAUAGGGAAGGAAUUACAGGAGGAAGAAGGAGGAGGAAGGAGGAGCAGCACCAUCACCAGCAGUAAAGGAAACGAACAAACAGUGGAAGGGUGAGAGAGGGAACAGGUGGGUUGAGGGGAAGGCACCAAAGUUAACACCUUUGAGAUGGAAAAGUUGGGUGGGGGCACCAAAGUCAGCACCUUUGAGAUGGAAACGUGCAGCAGUGCGUCAGAAACGGAAAUGAGGACAAGUCAGAGAGAAUCCCGAAUCAGAAUGCAGUCCACUUCAUCCCGCAUGUUUCAAGGUCUUGCUCGUUUUUUCCUACAAUACUUCGUGGUUCACUUCGAAUACGAAUUCCGUAUGCUCUGCAGAUCUGAGACUCAAUUUCUUAUCGGCCACGGAUAGUAGAAAUUUUGGAUCCGUGAUGGGUUCUUUUCUCCAAGCCGUUUUACUGUUAAUAAUCUGGAGCUCACAAGACUGAAAGGGGGAUUCAGUCCUUCUGCAACUCUACGUCGGCAGUAUUGAAGCUCACAUCGGUGCUUGCACUCCAUACAAACACACUCGCUGAAAUCCCUAACUCCGGAUGGACGUUCACGAACAUUCAUCGGUGCAAAGGCAAGGAGCAUUCCAGUUGUCUGUGCAACUGCUUGCCUCCUAAAUUUUAACCAAAAUUCUUAAUUCUAAAUCUCCAGAAUUAUUAUUUGUAUUGUAAUGUGUAAUAUAAAAUAAUUUCUUCACGUGUUCAAAUUAUAUAAUUUUAUUAUUUUAUAUUACACAUUACAAUAAUAGGCUGCCCACAAUCAAAGUAGAUGUACGUUUUUGAGGGUGUCCAUCCCUUGGGAUAUUUCCUACAAGAGAAUUGGAUGUCAAACUAGGUUGAGUGAAUCCUCUUGGGGAAAUUUGCAAAUUAGAUAAUUUUUAUUACCUUGAGUUUUGUAUCUUAUGCUCCAUUGGGUAUGAUUUUGGUGACAUUAUUUAUGACAUAAUAAUAUUUUUCUAUUGUGCUUUACUGUAUUAAAUCUUUAUUUGUUCUCAUGCUUGUGAAUAUAAUUCAUAUUUCUAUAUACACAUGCCUAAGCCAAGAGAGUGUAGAAAGGAGAAAAAAUAACUAAAUAAAUAAAAACUUGAAAUCACUUUUACAUUAUCACUUGACUUAAAAUCAUUCUAUUUAUAUUUACUUGCAUUUUGGAAACAAUUGGUUGAUAAAGCAAUAUAAAUAUUUUGCUUAAGUUUGAAAACUUCAAUAUUUUUAAUUGCUAAAAAUUUAAUUUAUUAUGAUGAUUCUAUUAUGUGCAUCUGAUUUCAAUUUAUAAAGACCAAAUUUUAAACGUAUGUAAUUUUUAAUUAUUAAUUUUUUAAAAUGUAAAAUGUUAUUAGGUGUUUUGUGGUUUUUUUCUUAGAGUGCUCUAAAUCAGUAAAUUAUUAUUAACAUAAAUAUUAUAAAACUCUUAUUGUUCAAUUGGUUUGAAUGUCAUGUGUUCAAUUCAUUCAGUUCUCACACUCUUUCCAUACAAUUAGGUGUUAUAAGUUUCGGAUUGUAGAAAAGGGUAGAUAAUAUUGCUAAAAAAAUCUUAUUAGGUGAACUUCACAAUUUCAAUAUAAAACUCUAAAUAACUCCACUAUCAACCAUACAUGUUACAAAAAGUAAUCUACAUAGAAUCAUCUUUUCAAUUUUAUAUCUGGAUAAUCAACAUUUGUAGUCGCUUUUUGUUCAAAACUCUUAUUACUUUCAAUAUGAUUUAUUUAUUUCCUCAUGUUUUUAAAAGAUGAUUAAAAGAAGAUUUAAAUAUAUUGGGACAUGUGGACGCUUUGGACAUGUAUUGAAAAAAACCGAUCUUCAAAUAGAUAUAUAUAUAUAUAUAUAUAUAUAUAUAAGCUUUAUUAACAAAAAUCAACAUAGAAUAAAUGUAUAUACUUUAAGACUAUAAGAACCUUACUUAAUAUCUUGCUAAAUAUUUUAAAUAAAUUUAGGACUUACAAAAGCAUUUUUUACUUGUGAUUAAUAUUAAAAAAAUUAAUCAUAAUAAAGUGUCUUACUCAAAUAAUAAAAAAAUUAAAAUAUUUUCUUAUUUUCUUAUUUUGUUUGAGAACAAUAUUUAUCUACCUAGAAUAUAUCAAUAGAAUGAGAUAAAAAUUACUUUUAUCUACAAUAUUUAAAAACUAAUCAUCCUAUUAUUUUAAAACACAUUCACUUAUGCUUGUAAGCAUGAAUUGUUUUAAAGAUGAUUCCCUCCUAUUAUUUUGACAAGAUACAAAGUAAAUCAAAAAGCUGAAAUAUUUAAAAUAACAUAAAGCAAUCACAUCCAACUAACAAUAGAUUUAUUUCUAAGAUUUACAAUAUAUCUUAGCUAUUUGUAUUUAUGAUUAUAAUUAAAAAAAUAAAAAAAUGUGGAUUUCUAAAAUUUAGUAUUUUUACAGUAUAAUAAGUUAAAAGAAAAAAGAAAACAGUUCAAAUAUAUAAUAAGCUUAAAUUUACUUUUAAUGAUUUUUGAUUUUUCUUAAUAAUAUAAAUUAUUGAUAUAUGAUAUCAAUAAAUUUUAGAAAUUAACCAAAUAAUAAAGAAUUUUAAAUAAAAUAAGACACUGCCCAAAGAAAGGUAUACAAAGACUUAAAUGUUUUUACAAAAGUGAAAUAUUCUAGCAUAAUAAUAGAUUUAACAUUUAUCAAUGAUGUUAUUCCAAAAGUUUUACAAAGAACUAUUUUAAUGUCAUUGGAGAUGGUUUUAAUGUUCAAAUUAAUUACUAAAUCUACAUAUCAAACAUAUUGAUUCAAUCUAAUAUUCUAAGAAUUUAUUCUAAUCUAUUAUAUCUAUGUUUAUAUAUAUAUAUAUAUAUAUAUAUAUAUAUAUAUAUCUAUGAGGUUUCCAACUAACACAAAUUAUUAUAGAUUUUACACAACUCUGAGGAAAAAGUGAUUUAAGAUAGUGUGUCUAAUAUAUUACAAGAAAAUCCAUAAAUAAAUAGUUUAAUAAAAGAUUGAUAUAUGAGAAGUUUAUGUCUUGUAUCUUUUAAUUUUUCGUGUAGCAAAGUAUAUAUAUUUAUAUAUAUUUAUAUAUAUUUAUAUAUAUUUAUAUAUAUUUAUAGCUCCAGUAUGUCAAAUUAUUUUAUCAAAUUUUAAGAUUGUUAUUACCAAAAUUUUAAAAAAAUAUUUCUUUAAGAAGUAAAGGAUUGAUUCUUAAUAACUAAAUUUCUUCAUCAUAAUUAUGAAUACUAUUAAAAAAAUAAUGUUAUUUUUUUAUAUAAAAUCUAAAAUAAAUUAAUAAGUAAAUAAGUAAAUAGAAAAAUAUGAUAUUUUUUGAAUUAAACUCAUAAUCUAUUGAAAUUGACCAUUUAAAAACAAUGCUAAAUUUUCUAAGAGUUUAUAUAUAUAUAUAUAUAUAUAUACACACACAUACACACACAAUUGUUUUACAUUAGAUAUGAUGACUUUGAUUGUUUACAGAUUUAGCAAGGCUUUUUUAAGAGAUAUAAGUUUUGUUUGCAUAAUACAAUUGAUUUUAGUAAAAGUUUGGCAUUACCAUUAUCAAUUAUAAAAGAGUAAAAUAAAAUCAUAAAAAUUAUGAAGAUAGAUACUAUCUAAUUUGUAAUAUUUGUUAUAUAUAUAUAUAUAUAUAUAUAUAUAUGUAUAAAUUUUAAUUAUUUAUAAAUAAAUAAAUAAAAGUUGAUCUAAUUAUAAGAAUAGAUUAAAUUAAAGUUUUUUUUAUCUUAAUAGUGUUUUUAGAUUUAAUUUGAAUAUUAUAUAAAAAAUUAGAUUUUUUUUCUAAUUAUUUUUUUAAUAAAAUCUACUUUUUCAAAGAACACUAUUAUGAAUUUUAAUUUUAAUUAAAAGUUAGUAGAAAACCGCCUAAGUACAUAGAAGUAAGUAAAAGUAGAUAGAGAUGAAAAUAAAUAAGUAAAUAAAUUCUUCUUUAAAAAUCAUCAAGGUGGCUUUUGAAACAUAAUUUGGAACUUUAAAUGUUAUUGGAUGCAUCAUGUAGUUAUUAAAACUUUGUCUAGAAGUUUUGUACGUUUAAAAAACUAUAGUAGAAGAAUCUCUAAACUUAGACACUUGGUUUGUUAGCUCUUUGAUCCUUAAAAAGCUUCCAUAUUAUGCUUUCUUUUAUCUAAUAUUUACGAAGCCAAGACUUUGACCAUUUUCAAUUGUAGUAAUACUUUCUUGUGCUCUAACCUUUAUUUAAAACCCUUUUAUACUUUGUAUUCAGAAAUUUCUAUAUUAACAUGAAUAAUAUAUAUAUACAUAUAUAUUAUUCAUAUAUUUUUAUAUUUUGUAACAUUAUAUGUUAAAUGUAAUUUUUUUUUGGAUUUCAAUGACAAAAUUGAUUAACUUUUUUUUUUUUUAAAAAAUCUUAAUUUAUAAUCUAAAUCCUUAAUUUUUACAUGAGUAAAAUUUUGAUAUACAUACGUUUGAUUAAAUGAAAUUUUGAUAUAUAUAUUUUUUGAAUGAUUAUCAUAAAAACAGAAACAUCAUUUUUAAAUAAAUGUUGUUUUUAUAAGUGCCACAACUUUUAUCGAUCAUGAGUGCUUUUGAGGAGAUUGGAACUUAUCCUUUGAAUAAGUGAAAGGGAAUACAGGAAUAUCAAAAUUGUAAGCCAAAUCAAAACAUGAGCACUGGAAUUGGGUUUUUUAGUUUUAGUUUUUAGUUAUUGUUUUGGAGUAGCAUGCCCCAUUAAACGAGAGAUCAAUCUGGGCCUUAUUCAGGGAGUGAGAAGAAGGCUAUUCUGUUUCUCGACCACAGAAUGAUUGUGAGUGUGCUUGAAUGUCAAGUGGAUGGGGUUGCUCUGCUGCCACAAUUUCUCUUUAAUUCCCAGGGUUCCGCUGGCUCUGGAUCUGGCAGUUACUAAUUUGCACAUUCAUGCAAUUUCAGAUUCCAGACCAGGUUUACGAGAGCUGGGUUGCCAGUUGUGGAGGAGGACUGGACGAAGGAUUUUUAUGAAGUUGUGUGACCAUGGCCAUGGUGUUGACGUCCGGGUGCCGUUGUUCAAUUGCCACGCUCCCUGCAGGUUUGGAAUUGCGUGCCGUUACGACACGGCCUCUCGGGUCAAGACUCACGAUGUCCAGGUACCGUAUAUUCCAUCUUCGUACUCGUAAAUUGUCAUGAGUUUCUUCAGAUGCUGCAGCUCACAAUUGUGCUGCAAGUUCUGCGAAUUCUAGAUGCGGAUUCGUAAGACGAGUCUCCAAGUUCCUGAGAAUCUGCAACGCAUUGCACUGCAUGAACUUCUCUCAAACUUCAGACAAUCGUCACUUGAAAUGCUUGCACUUGUUGCGGAAUUCGUUAUGCAAGUCUACACUAACAAACCAGUAGACUUACUCGCCGUAUGUUGCCAUCUAUUCUCGAUUACAUUUUCCUUUUUCUGAUACUUUGUAAUAUUUUGCGAUCACUUGAGAAUAGAGUUGAGUAGAAAUCAAGCAAAUGUGGAAGGGUUCAUCCUGAAAUUUGGCGUAGUGGGCGCAGUGGCUCUUAAACUACCCAUGUUAAAGUCCCAUAGUUAGUGGUAAUUCACAGCGUUCAUAUUUUUUAUUUUCAAUUUUCAAUUUCUUUUUCCAGUGUGGUGGGGUAUCGUGCAGUGACACCUCCAGACCGUCAAAUUGUUCCCUGAAGAAAGUCGGAGGCGUAGAGAGGGUACGCCAUCCUACAUUAGCAUCAGUUAAACGGAGCAAUGAGUCAACAAUUAAUUCGACGACGAAGGAAAGUCCAAUUCAAGUUCGGGAAGGGAGGCCUUCUUUCCGAAUCAUGGCGGAAGGGAACAUGUGGUUACUGGAAUUUGAAGCAUCCGGCCUUCGUGUGCUUGCAGAUCCAUGGCUCUUCGGCAACCAAACAUUUUGGGACCAGGCCUGGCUCUACACUGGUGCGUUGUAUGUCCCUAAAUGCUUCUGAUUUAUCUUCUAAGUCAGUCCUUGGUUAAAAUGCGUUCCUCUACAUAUUUAAUUUGUUGAUUCCUACUCGUUUUCAAUCUUACAGGCCGCUCUCAGUCCCAACAGAGGGAUGGAUUACCUGGUGACUUGACAUUGGAGUAUGUGAAUAGCAUAGAUGCUAUCAUCAUAACUCAGGUAUAUUAAUAACUCAAAUAGUGUUCUGCAAAAUAGUUAACGAAUCAAUAUUAUGUUUUUCGAUUCAUGAAUGUGAUUUUUGUAAACUUGUUCAAGUAAUUAUCCGCCUGCGUGAUCGAAAGCCUCUAGUGCAUGAUUUCCUAUCAAUGCUAUGGCAGGAAUGGGAAGACCACUGCCACUUACCUACACUCAAGAUGUUAAGGUAUGGAGAUUCAUCAUUGUGGAGAGAACCAUUCUCACAACUGAUUGUCAUCAUAAGUUGGGCACCGUGGUGAAGCUUAAGCUGCAACAUUUUCUCUUAGUGUGAAUUUAUCCUCUUGCCUCAUGAAAGUGCUGUGGGAAAUGAUUGUAGAAAGGAUGUGCCGGUAUUGGCAUCGCCGAAAGCAGCGGUUGUUGUGCAACGACUUGGGUUUACAGACGUUACAGACCUUGCUCACGGCACCUCCUCGCAGAUUUCGGGUUUAAAAGUAUGGGCCACCGUUGGUGGACGUGUGGGUCCGCCAUGGGCGCUUCGUGAGAACGGCUUUGUUCUCCAAGAAAUGCAAACAGGGCUUAGGUUGGGGACUUGUUGUGGAGUUCAUACUAAGGGGUUAGGGUUGCCUUCUUUAAGAAUUUCAACAUCAAGUGAGUGUACCAAACAUUGCAAGGACGUGAUUGGUGAAACCUUGAUGCUUUGCAGGAUCUACUACGAACCUCACUGUAGUUUUGAUGAAGAAUCUGUCCGAUCUGUGAGUCCAGGUCAUUACUCUGCUCAAUCUUGUGUUAUAGAAUGCUACAUUGUUCUACUGCAAGAAUGCUAACAGGCAAAUCAAUGGUAUGUGUCUUAUGCAAGGUAACUGGAUUUGUAGAUUAUGAAGCACAUGAUGACAAAUUGAGUUCUUUGUUGAUUAAUUCGUGGUGUUGUGUGCAGUUGAUGUGGUAAUAACUCCAGGGCGUCAGUACAAAGUUGCUGGCUUCCCAUUGACAGAGAGCGUCAACGAAGCUGUGCGUCUCUUACGCAUACUAAAACCGCAAGUGAUUAUUCCCAUCCAGCUAACCCACCUGGAAAUGUCGGGGUAAUUGCAGAACAACUUCAAUGACUACUCGUUACUGUCUUGUUUUUCUUAUGCAGACUUAGUUCAAGAAAUUAUUUAUUUGUGGUUUGAAUGACAACUGUAAUUGGGAUUUUAUCAGUGUGACGGCGCCCAUAAUCCAACUCAUAGGCACUCCGAACGACUUCGAAGCAUAUCUUCGUGAAGCUGGAAUAACUGCCAGGUUCGUGCCUGCUUCUAGUAGAAAUUUGCAUAAUUAAGGUACGAGCUUCAUUAAGCUGUCCAUUAACACCGAAGACUACUGACUUUUCGUGGAGUCGGUUGCAGAGUUGUGGUGCCCCCUCUCUCAGGACACUUCGAGCAUGUCCAGCUUGAGCUUCAAAAACAAGAUGCUUGACUUUUCAAUUUAUAUAUAUAUAUAUAUAUUAUCUUACAAGUAUUAGUUUAAAUAUAUUUUAUUUAUUUAUAAGAUUGUAUUUAUAAGAUUAAUAUUCAGAGUAUUCAAUAAAAUAUUUAGAAGAUUUUUUUAUGAGGCAUUCGUUGCACAUGUCAACACGACGACUAUGCAUCACGGAACUUGCGAAACUCCUCAUCCUGAUCAAUGAUGCCCCAAAGAGGCUGGUUCAACGCCAAGCUCACAUCGAUAGCGCCCGUGUCCCCUGCUGCUGCUGCUGCUGUGCCCUGCUCCUCCGUUGGCAAAAAAUAAGCCAGCCCAUCAAUCAGCGUAACGGGCGUGAAGGGCGGCGACACCAGCACUGGCCCGACCUCAAAGACAGUACCCGCGUACAUGUCAAACUUGUUCCACUGACUUACCAUUAAGCUUCCAUUCCCGUACUGGAAGCCCUGCCUGAUUUUCUUCUUGUCCGGUUGCAUCGCAAUCCACCGAAGACUUUGGUUCAGCUCAUCUUUCGAAGUCGUAGAGAUGGUGCGCGUCAAGUCGUGCAGGGCUCUGGCGACUUGCCAGAGCGGACCGUUGGCGAGGACGUCGUGCGAGAGGGUGAUGUGCGGACAGAAUAAGGCAUUUGGGAAGUAGCGUGAUGGGAGGCAGUCGCGGCCAAGGCGAUUGCGGAGAUUGACAGGGGUGAGGAAGUUGGGGGAAGACAGUUCGCCCUGGUUCGAGUCUUUUGCAUGCAGCUGCAACCGCGCUCGAUAGACGCGCUGGUAGAGAUGCGCCGACAGCGCGUCAAAGGUGGAUAUCCAGCUGUCCGAUGAUGUGCUGCCAUUUGGGUCCGUCGCGUGUCCUUUGAGAGCAUUGAGCUCGCGGUGGGAGAAGCGCAAGAAACGUCCUACGACAGGAGGAGGAGAGGGCGGAAAAGAAGGAAUGACGGAGGACGUGGAAGAGGCAACUGCCGCAGCACCGCCCUCAACGUCCGCGCUCCGCUCUACAUAGAAUAGCGACGGUUGGAAGUCAAGAGCUGCCAGCCGCUCCUCUAGCGUAAUAUUGCCACCACUUAGCUCCGACAUGCAGGACCGGAUGUGAGGAGGGUGAGCCAGCGACGGGAAAUGUGAUGUCGAAUCGCCAUCUAUCUCAGAGGACCGGACACCGCGAUACAGCUCCGCCAGAUCGCGCAUCAGCUGGAAGAAGCCAUCGGCGUCGCACACUGUGUGAAGGAGUCGCACGCCGAGCGCGACACCUCCGCAUCUGAAGCGCGUAUGCUGAACGGUGAAGAUGGGGUCGCGGCCAACGCCCUCGAGAGUCGCGUCGAAGGGCGCCAGCAGUACGUUGCCAGCGGCGGGCAGGUUCGACAUCAGGAUGCGGCCGGGGGAAAGGAGUCCAGGAGAAGAGAAUGCAUUCAGCCGUUCGCUGCACCGGGCUAUGUAAAGUUCAGCGCCAGUGCCUAGGCAAGUGAUUUCGCGGCUUCCGUCGCUCGGGUUGACUUGCAGGCGUCCAGUAAGGUGCGGGUAGUAGUCCAGUAGCAGCGUCAAAGCGCGUUGGAGGCGCUCGACUGGAAUGAGUUCGACGUCGGGAGUUGAGGUAGGUUGUUCGUAGACGAAGACGACUGCUGUGGGUAUAGAGGGAUCCACCAGGUGAUCGAAUGGGCCGAGGCGAAAUGGAGAAUCGAGAAGCGCUGACCAUGAUGUUUCGUUGGCACAGCGCACCGUGUGCCGCGAAAUGACACUGACAGAGUCUGCGGAUGUGUUGGUCAUGACGGGGGAAAGGACUGACAAGCUUGGCAGCGGGCUGAGGCUAGGUAAUGGGUGAAGAACUGUUUACGAUGCUGAUCAGGAAGAUCGUAGAAAACAACAGAGCACACAAAAUAAGAAUCGAAACAAGCACUGUAUAGGAAUGGUGGAACCAACGGAACACUAUGGGAAGCAAGAGAAAGAAACGGUCGGUUCAGAUUCUGUUUUGCAUAAAGGUAAGGAAUUGAUCGGAAAGGUUGGUUUACUUACCAGAACGGACGAGAACUUGGAAUCGAGUAUUAUCGAGAAAGCGCGCGGCUGGAGGAACUUGGAGGUGGUUCUGAUACAACCGUGAGGAUACAUUACGCAAAGGUUGAAUCCGAAAGUAGAACUUAAGAAAGAGAAGCGGACUUGGAUGCCAAAGUAGCAUUGCUGAGAGAUAGCGAAAAAAUGAACCUAAAAACUGAUAUUAUCUAGUCAAAUGAGAAGGAAUAAUCGGAAAUAUGGUAUAAUCGGAACAAAAAUAAAAAAAAAAUAAAAAAAAAUGGCAAGACGAUAAAACGACUUGGAUGGUAGACAAGCAUAUCGUUCGAGAAGCCGCGCGGUGGAGGGAAGUGGGGAGGGAGAUGGGCAGGAAGGCGUUCAAUCGGAAAAGAAAAAGAAGAGAUCGAAAGUAAAACGCAAAACUAAAACAUAACACAACUUAAAACCCCCAACCACAUCUAGUCUUACCAGACAAGACAUGGACAAGGGAAGCAAAAAAAAGAAAACGAAAAAGGAAGGUGAGGAAAGUUAGAGAAUUAGCUAAACGUUUUGAAACACGAAAAAUGCGAAGAAGGGACGGAGUUCAACCUCAACGAAGCCGGUUUAUCACUCCCGGUAAGGAGUACCGUUUAGCCUCAAGUUAGGAGAUUCGGUUUAACCUCUCGGGAGGAGGGAGAAGGAGGGGGUGGUCGUUUUACCUCUGCGAGACCGGUUUACACUCUCGGUUAGGAGCACAGUUUAACCUCGUGAUAAGAGGCCUUAUUUAACCUUUCGGAGCGGAGCUGGGUUUUACCACCGCGAAUCCAGGUUUUUUUACUUUCGAUUAAGAGUGCGGUUAAGCCUCAUAUUAGGAGACCAGGUUUAACCCCUCGGGAGAAGGAGGAGGUGGGCGUUAGACCUCUGCGAGGCCGGUUUAUCCUAUCGGUUAGAAGCUCAUCAUACAACUACUGCUAUCAAGCCGGUUAAGAAAAGGAGAAGAAGAAAGAAGAGAGAAGAAGUCUGUAAGGUUUAGGGUUUGGUCAAUUAAGGUCACUUUGGUUACGGUAAAAUGAAAAAAAUAAAUCAAAUGAUAAGCUUACGAACCAUGAGGCGGAGGAGGAACCUUGAGCAGAGGAAGGUGGCGGAAGCGGCUUGCUGAUAAGAGAGGACCCAAAUCAGAGAGUUAGGCGACUUUCGAGUACAGAGGCGGGUCGAAAAGAGUCGAUAGACUAACCUGGAAGACGAGGAGUAUGUUGCGAGGAAGCAAGAGGCUGCACUCGUGGCUGAAGAGGCAGUCGAAGUGCUUGCUGUUGGGAGAAGAGCGAGGUCAGUCGGUUAAGUCAGUUGAGGAUACAAGUUAGAGCAGAAAGAUGAGGUUACCAACUUGGACUAUCUUGCGGAAAAGAGAAAAUCACAGUCAUGGCUGAAAUGGUCGUUGAUGCGGUGGCUUGAUGAUGGGAGAAGGCCGAGUGAGUUACCCUGCGAAGGCCGAAGGGGAAGCUUGACUAGCGUCGAAAAUGCUGGGUUCCUAAUGAAAAAAGAAGCGAGAUCGAUUAUCAAUUAUGCCCGUUUCUUAUACCAGAAUAGAUCGGAAAAUGACUGUUACUUACCGUGGGAGAUGAGGGUACACUUGAGGGAAGAAGAAAGCGAUCGAAAAUGGUGUCAAACGCUAAACCGCAUAACAAAAACACACCUUGAAAAAUAAGGUACUCUCGACGGAAGGAAUAAACGGAGGUUGUUGGAGGUUGCUGAAUGUGGUUUCCUGUUGAAAGAAGGGUGAGAUCGAUCAAUCGGUAACCCAUAGGAUAGAAGGGUACAUCGGAAAGAUGAGUUGUACUAACCGUUGUCGAGGAGGGUACCCUGCGAUGGGAACGGGAGGGAAGGGGAAGAGGGGUCGGAGGAAUGCCGAGAUUGGUUGACGAAGAGCCUCUUGAAUAGAAAGAAGUCGAAGCAGUCGAAGGAUGCUGGAGGCGGAUAUCUGUUGAAAGAAGAUUGAGGUCGGUUGGUCAGGUCACGCAUAAAAACUUAUACCUCAGAAGAUCAAGCAUACGAACCUUGCAGAAGGAGAUUACUCAUCUCGCUGAUUUAUCCUUUUUAGCCUGAAGCAAAGAUGAGCUAAUGGAUCGAUCUCUCAUUUCUCUCAGCGGGCACAACUUUCGACAACCUUCUCCAACCUUCAACAACCCCUUCUCCCUCAGUUUCCUUAAAGGGUACCCUCCUCUUACAGUACAGGGUAAAUAAAAGCUCAUAUUCGCCAGAUUUAUAGCAUUCAAUACAUGAAACAAUCGGAAAAUCUCACUUUUCUUUGGACGUCAACAGGGAACCACUUUCAACAACUCCUCAACAGCUUCUUCUGACCUCAUUUUCCAUGGAAGGUACCCCUUUCAUUCAAGGUAAACUCAUCUUUUGCAAUCUAACUUUUUAAUAUGGCAAUCAACUGCUAAUUUUGUUCAAAGUGUAAUCUUCUUGUAUGAAAUAAUUUUUUACAAUGUCAUUCAAUUGCUAAUUCUGUUCAAAGUGUAGUCUUCUUCUACUAUAUGUUAUCUUCUCAAAUCCAUCUUCUCAAAUCCAUGUUUUAUCAAUUGAGAUAAUCCGACCAAAUGAUAAAAGUUUAAGAUUACAUAGAUAUGACCAAUUUUUUGAUCUCCAUAUUUUAAAAUUUUGACUUGAUGUAUUUUUUCAUUAUAAAUUCCUAAAAUGAAAAAAUACAAUAAUGGCAUGAUUGACUUGCUUUAUACGUUUAUAAUUUGCAUAAUUUAGCAAUUUUGAUUUAGAUUUUUGAGUUUUGACUUUUGGCAUAUAAGAAUAUUUUAGAAUUUUGAAAUAUUAUUGUAUGUAUUUCAGAGUUGUCAAUUUUGAAUAUUUGUUAUAGACCUACAUAUGUAAAUCCAUAAUUAUCUAUAUAAAUAGGAAGAAAUAAAAAUAGGUAUAAGUAAGUUAAUUCUAUAAUAUCUUCUAUAAAAGCUUCCUAAAAGCUUCAUAGAUGCUGCUGUAACUUUAUAGGUGUCUAUAAUUGACUUUUUGGAUUAGAAAUGUGAUCAACAAGUUGGCCAUGUGCCAUACAUGUUGUUGGCUUGAAGGCGAAGUUAACUAUGUGGCCCACACGUAGAAAAACUUACCUUGUAAGUGAAGACCUGUGUUCUACAAAGUCAAGACAUAUUGGAAGUCUUAUAGAACAUUGCCACAUAGCCUCUAGUUAGAUAGUAUAUAUAGAAACAAGAGUGAAGUCUUCUUCACUUUUCUCAACUCCUUUCUAGCUUUAGUCUAGUUUCAAGAGUCUCAUGUUUUCUAGUCUUUGGAAAUAGCCAUUCUAAUUCUUCAUUGAAUAUAUAUACUUUCUUCUAUUUUAUCACUUUUUUUUUAUGACUGAGAUUCCUUAAGCUUAUAUAUCUUCUUACAGUUAGUGUUCUUGACAGAUUGAUAAGAGUGCACAUAUAAUAUUAUAGCUUUGUCCUAUUUUGAUUAAGAGUAGAUUAUCCCUUUCUCUUCAUAAAGUAUAAGCGUAUUAGAAGUUGUGGAUUACCCUCUUUUAAA